CGCUCGCUGCUUUUCUUUCUCUUUCUUGCGCACCUCGUGGUUGCUAGCCAUCUCUCUGCUACUUAAGCGAUUAAAACGUGCGUACCGCGUUACACGCGAGGAGCAGGUCGCCACGCGCCCAGACCACCGUGAUAGAUGUUGUGACUUGAUAGUGAUUAUCUACUGGAUGGGUUCCUGUGUGAUUUUUAAGCGCAGUUCAAUGAAAUGGUUGACUUUACAAUGUGAACAUCUGAUCCUGGACCCUGCUUCAGCACUGAGCUGGUCAAUCUCUUGCUUGAAUCUUCCUUAGAUGAAUCUGUUUCCAGAACCCGUCUGAAGCAUGUUUUCUGUCUAUAGAUCGAUCAGAAGCCACCGUGAAGUCUCUUGAUUCACCUGGAUGCAGUGCUAAGCGCUCCAUGGUGACCGUGACGAAUGCUGGAGAUUGACGUCAGACCAAAUGUCUUUACAAUGUUUAUUAAAUAAAAACGAUGUAAACUC